rnacentral:rRNA from 1 species
GACGAACGCUGGCGGCGUGCUUAACACAUGCAAGUCGAACGGAAAGGCCCUGCUUUUGUGGGGUGCUCGAGUGGCGAACGGGUGAGUAACACGUGAGUAACCUGCCCUUGACUUUGGGAUAACUUCAGGAAACUGGGGCUAAUACCGGAUAGGAGCUCCUGCUACAUGGUGGGGGUUGGAAAGUUUCGGCGGUUGGGGGUGGACUCGCGGCUUAUCAGCUUGUUGGUGGGGUAGUGGCUUACCAAGGCUUUGACGGGUAGCCGGCCUGAGAGGGUGACCGGCCACAUUGGGACUGAGAUACGGCCCAGACUCCUACGGGAGGCAGCAGUGGGGAAUAUUGCACAAUGGGCGGAAGCCUGAUGCAGCAACGCCGCGUGCGGGAUGACGGCCUUCGGGUUGUAAACCGCUUUCGCCUGUGACGAAGCGUGAGUGACGGUAAUGGGUAAAGAAGCACCGGCUAACUACGUG